rnacentral:tRNA from 1 species
GCCGCCUGCGGGCGGCACGGAAGCCGCGGCUGUCGGGGCCGCGGCGGCGGCAGGGGAGGCCGCUUCCGCCUUCGGCACGGCGGCGGGCGCUGCC